UCAGUGGCGAACGGGUGAGUAACACGUGACAAUCUGCCCUUGACUCUGGGAUAAGCGUUGGAAACGACGUCUAAUACCGGAUACGACCUUGGAAGGCAUCUUCUGGGGUGGAAAGAAUUUUGGUCAAGGAUGAGCUCGCGGCCUAUCAGCUAGUUGGUGAGGUAAUGGCUCACCAAGGCGACGACGGGUAGCCGGCCUGAGAGGGUGACCGGCCACACUGGGACUGAGACACGGCCCAGACUCCUACGGGAGGCAGCAGUGGGGAAUAUUGCACAAUGGGCGAAAGUGAUGCAGCAACSCGCGUGAGGGACGACGGCCUUCGGGUUGUAAACCUCUUUUAGUAGGGAAGAAGCGUWAAAGUGACGGUACCUGCAGAAAAAGCACCGGCUAACUACGUGCCAGCAGCCGCGGUAAUACGUAGGGUGCAAGCGUUGUCCGGAAUUAUUGGGCGUAAAGAGCUCGUAGGCGGUUUGUCGCGUCUGCUGUGAAAACCCGAGGCUCAACCUCGGCCUGCAGUGGGUACGGGCAGACUAGAGUGCGGUAGGGGAGAUUGGAAUUCCUGGUGUAGCGGUGGAAUGCGCAGAUAUCAGGAGGAACACCAAUGGCGAAGGCAGAUCUCUGGGCCGUAACUGACGCUGAGGAGCGAAAGCAUGGGGAGCGAACAGGAUUAGAUACCCUGGUAGUCCAUGCCGUAAACGUUGGGAACUAGAUGUGGGGACCAUUCCACGGUCUCCGUGUCGCAGCUAACGCAUUAAGUUCCCCGCCUGGGGAGUACGGCCGCAAGGCUAAAACUCAAAGGAAUUGACGGGGGCCGCACAAGCGGCGGAGCAUGCGGAUUAAUUCGAUGCAACGCGAAGAACCUUACCAAGGCUUGACAUAUAGAGGAAACGUCUGGAAACAGUCGCCCCGCAAGGUCUCUAUACAGGUGGUGCAUGGUUGUCGUCAGCUCGUGUCGUGAGAUGUUGGGUUAAGUCCCGCAACGAGCGCAACCCUCGUCCUAUGUUGCCAGCACGUAAUGGUGGGAACUCAUGGGAUACUGCCGGGGUCAACUCGGAGGAAGGUGGGGAUGACGUCAAAUCAUCAUGCCCCUUAUGUCUUGGGUUCACGCAUGCUACAAUGGCCGGUACAAAGGGCUGCAAUACCGCAAGGUGGAGCGAAUCCCAAAAAGCCGGUCUCAGUUCGGAUUGAGGUCUGCAACUCGACCUCAUGAAGUCGGAGUCGCUAGUAAUCGCAGAUCACAACGCUGCGGUGAAUACGUUCCCGUACCUUGUACACACCGCCCGUCAAGUCAUGAAAGUCGGU
rnacentral:rRNA from 1 species